UACGUAGGCAGCAAGCGUUGUUCGGAGUUACUGGGCGUAAAGGGCGCGUAGGCGGUCUUGUAAGUCUUGUGUGAAAUCCCUCGGCUCAACUGAGGAACUGCACGGGAUACUGCGAGACUUGAGUUCGGGAGAGGUGAGUGGAACUGCGAGUGUAGAGGUGAAAUUCGUAGAUAUUCGCAAGAACACCAGUGGCGAAGGCGGCUCACUGGCCCGAUACUGACGCUGAGGCACGAAAGCGUGGGGAGCAAACAGG
rnacentral:rRNA from 1 species